GGUUAUGAGUCCCAGCGCCAAGCCCCGGCUUGCUGGGCGGCAACCCUCCUCGCGGUGGGGUGCCCCGGGUGAAGACCCGGCCGACCCUCACCUGGGCGGCAAGCGCGAGCG
rnacentral:ncRNA from 2 species